rnacentral:rRNA from 2 species
GCAGUCGAACGAACUCUGGUAUUGAUUGGUGCUUGCAUCAUGAUUUACAUUUGAGUGAGUGGCGAACUGGUGAGUAACACGUGGGAAACCUGCCCAGAAGCGGGGGAUAACACCUGGAAACAGAUGCUAAUACCGCAUAACAACUUGGACCGCAUGGUCCGAGUUUGAAAGAUGGCUUCGGCUAUCACUUUUGGAUGGUCCCGCGGCGUAUUAGCUAGAUGGUGGGGUAACGGCUCACCAUGGCAAUGAUACGUAGCCGACCUGAGAGGGUAAUCGGCCACAUUGGGACUGAGACACGGCCCAAACUCCUACGGGAGGCAGCAGUAGGGAAUCUUCCACAAUGGACGAAAGUCUGAUGGAGCAACGCCGCGUGAGUGAAGAAGGGUUUCGGCUCGUAAAACUCUGUUGUUAAAGAAGAACAUAUCUGAGAGUAACUGUUCAGGUAUUGACGGUAUUUAACCAGAAAGCCACGGCUAACUACGUGCCAGCAGCCGCGGUAAUACGUAGGUGGCAAGCGUUGUCCGGAUUUAUUGGGCGUAAAGCGAGCGCAGGCGGUUUUUUAAGUCUGAUGUGAAAGCCUUCGGCUCAACCGAAGAAGUGCAUCGGAAACUGGGAAACUUGAGUGCAGAAGAGGACAGUGGAACUCCAUGUGUAGCGGUGAAAUGCGUAGAUAUAUGGAAGAACACCAGUGGCGAAGGCGGCUGUCUGGUCUGUAACUGACGCUGAGGCUCGAAAGUAUGGGUAGCAAACAGGAUUAGAUACCCUGGUAGUCCAUACCGUAAACGAUGAAUGCUAAGUGUUGGAGGGUUUCCGCCCUUCAGUGCUGCAGCUAACGCAUUAAGCAUUCCGCCUGGGGAGUACGGCCGCAAGGCUGAAACUCAAAGGAAUUGACGGGGGCCCGCACAAGCGGUGGAGCAUGUGGUUUAAUUCGAAGCUACGCGAAGAACCUUACCAGGUCUUGACAUACUAUGCAAAUCUAAGAGAUUAGACGUUCCCUUCGGGGACAUGGAUACAGGUGGUGCAUGGUUGUCGUCAGCUCGUGUCGUGAGAUGUUGGGUUAAGUCCCGCAACGAGCGCAACCCUUAUUAUCAGUUGCCAGCAUUAAGUUGGGCACUCUGGUGAGACUGCCGGUGACAAACCGGAGGAAGGUGGGGAUGACGUCAAAUCAUCAUGCCCCUUAUGACCUGGGCUACACACGUGCUACAAUGGAUGGUACAACGAGUUGCGAACUCGCGAGAGUAAGCUAAUCUCUUAAAGCCAUUCUCAGUUCGGAUUGUAGGCUGCAACUCGCCUACAUGAAGUCGGAAUCGCUAGUAAUCGCGGAUCAGCAUGCCGCGGUGAAUACGUUCCCGGGCCUUGUACACACCGCCCGUCACACCAUGAGAGUUUGUAACACCCAAAGUCGGUGG